rnacentral:lncRNA from 1 species
CCAUGCGGCAGAGCUCAGCAAUGGGAGAUGGGGCUGUCCUUCCUCAGGGAACCACAGAAAUCUUCACCUGGGUCUAGACUCCCAAGGCUUCUUUGCAGGAGUGACAUCCAUUGACAUCCCCGGGUGCACUCAGGUUGGUCCUGAAGCUUAUACAAUUUGGUGGCCUUUUAAAAAUACAAAGUUAGGUUUGUAUAUUAUUAUUCAUAAUACAAAGUAAAUAUUUAGAAUGAGAAAAGAAAUAACAAGUUACAAUUUUUAAAAUGUUGACAAACACCACAAACAUCACAAAGUCCUGUUUAUUAGUUAAUAGCCUGUCACACCUAAAUAAAACUUAACUUCUGUAUUUUCUUGGCUGUAUAUUUUUAUCACCUCUUUAUAAGACAAUUCUGUAAUGUUAUUUUGUAUUGAGAGAAUAGAAAGAGAAUUAAGACUUUCUUCUGUCUGAUUAAUUUAAAAAUUUAAACUCAUUUUUGAUAGUUGAUAUGCAUAAAACAUGCAACUUCACACACAAAUAUACUCAAUUUUUACAACACCUUUAUAGAUUUGCAUUUUGAAAAUACAAGAAUUCUAAUGCAUGUUAGUUCAUGCGAUUUACACCAGAAAAGAAAAAAAAAUAUACGGU